UACAGAGGUCUCAAGCGUUGUUCGGAUUCAUUGGGCGUAAAGGGAGCGUAGGCGGCGUGGUAAGUCAGAUGUGAAAUCCCGGGGCUCAACCCCGGAACUGCAUCCGAUACUGCCGUGCUUGAGGGUUGGAGAGGUAGCUGGAAUUCUCGGUGUAGCGGUGAAAUGCGUAGAUAUCAGGAGGAACACCUGUGGCGAAAGCGGCUCACUGGACCACAACUGACGCUGAGGCGCGAAAGCUAGGGGAGCAAACAGG
rnacentral:rRNA from 1 species